rnacentral:rRNA from 1 species
UACAGAGGUCUCAAGCGUUGUUCGGAUUCAUUGGGCGUAAAGGGUGCGUAGGCGGUGUGGUAAGUCGAGUGUGAAAUCUCGGAGCUCAACUCCGAAACUGCACUCGAUACUGCCAUGCUUGAGGAUUGUAGAGGAGAUCGGAAUUCACGGUGUAGCAGUGAAAUGCGUAGAUAUCGUGAGGAAGACCAGUUGCGAAAGCGGAUCUCUGGGCAACUCCUGACGCUGAGGCACGAAAGCGUGGGGAGCAAACGGG